rnacentral:rRNA from 1 species
CAUCCUACGAAUCUCUGUUGAUAAGGAGAGAGUGCCUUCGGGAACGUAGAGACAGGUGGUGCAUGGCUGUCGUCAGCUCGUGUCGUGAGAUGUUGGGUUAAGUCCCUGCANACGAGCGCAACCCUCGUCCUUAGUUGCCUAUCAUUAACGUUGGGCACUUUAGGGAGACUGCCGGUGACAAACCGGAGGAAGGUGGGGAUGACGUCAAGUCAUCAUGCCCCUUACAUCCUGGGCUACACACGUACUACAAUGCAACGGACAAAGGGCAGCCAACUAGCGAUAGUGAGCUAAUCCCAUAAACCGUUGCUCAGUUCAGAUUGCAGGCUGCAACUCGCCUGCAUGAAGGCGGAAUCGCUAGUAAUCGCAGGUCAGCAUACUGCGGUGAAUACGUUCCCGGGCCUUGUACACACCGCCCGUCACACCAUGGAAGUUGGCCACGCCCGAAGUCGUUACCCCAACCGUUUACGGAGGGGGACGCCGAAGGCAGGGCUGAUGACUGGGGUGAAGUCGUAACAAGGUAGCCGUACCGGAAGGUGUGGCUGAUCACCUCGGCUU